rnacentral:pre_miRNA from 1 species
AAAUUACUCCCUCCGUCCCAAAAUUCUUGUCUUAGAUUUGUCUACAUACGGAUGUAUCAAGUCACAUUUUAGUAUUAGAUACAUCCGUAUCUAGACAAAUCUAAGACAACAAAUUUGGGACAGAGGGAGUAGUUG